rnacentral:rRNA from 11 species
GACAAGGGCUUAAAUUCCCUAAAGGCACUAGAUCCCAUCUGAUCUUGAAAGCUCAGCAGGGUCAGCCCUGUUAGUACUUGGACAGAUGAUCACCAACAACUACCCGAUACUGUAGGCU